rnacentral:rRNA from 1 species
GACGAACGCUGGCGGCGUGCCUAAUACAUGCAAGUAGAACGCGGAAGGCGGAGCUUGCUCUUCUGGAUGAGUUGCGAACGGGUGAGUAACGCGUAGGUAACCUGCCUGGUAGCGGGGGAUAACUAUUGGAAACGAUAGCUAAUACCGCAUAACAGUAGAUGUUGCAUGACAUUUGCUUAAAAGGUGCAAUUGCACCACUACCAGAUGGCCCUGCGUUGUAUUAGCUAGUUGUUGGGGUAACGGCUCACCAAGCGGACGAUGCAUAGCCGACCGGCGAGGGGGAGAGGCCACACUGGGACGGGGACACGGCCCAGAAUCCUACGAGAGGGAGCAGGAGGGAACCUUCGGCAAAGGACGGAAGGCUGACCGAGCAACGCCGGGUGAGUGAAGAAGGUUGUCGGAUCGUAAAGCUCAGUUGUAAGAGAAGAACGAGUGUGAGAGUGGAAAGUUCACAUUGUGACGGUACCUGAACAGAAAGGGACGGCUAACUACGUG